CAGCUCAAAGUGGGUGGUAAAUUCCAUCUAAAGCUAAAUAUUGGCGAGAGACCGAUAGCGAACAAGUACAGUGAUGGAAAGAUGAAAAGAACUUUGAAAAGAGAGUGAAAAAGUACGUGAAAUUGUUGAAAGGGAAGGGCAUUUGAUCAGACAUGGUGUUUUUUGCAUGCACUCGCCUCUCGUGGGCUUGGGCCUCUCAAAAAUUUCACUGGGCCAACAUCAGUUCUGGCAGCAGGAUAAAUCAUUAAGAAUGUAGCUACCUCGGUAGUGUUAUAGCUUAUUGGAAUACUGCUAGCUGGGAUUGAGGACUGCGCUUCGGCAAGGAUGUUGGCAUAAUGGUUAAAUGCCGC
rnacentral:rRNA from 1 species